GAAGCGUGACGAGUUUGUUUACAUGGUGCUGUAAACUCCAACCCAGGAGGACACUUCAGAGGAAUCAAGGUGUCUGUGAUGUUGAAACACUAAAGGAAGAAGAGGAGGACCACCAUUUGUUUCCUGAUCAGAACACAAGAGAAGAAUCUAACAGUGGUUUGGGGGCAUUGCAAGACCAUGAUUACCUGGAAACAUCUCCUAUUAUGGAAGAGCACAACAUCAUGCUCGCAACAUUUGUGUCCUGGAUCAGUUUUUCUUGUUUCUCUGCUGUAUGAGGCAGGGGCUUCUUUCCGCAGAUUUAGCUGUAAGGUUUAAAGGUCCCGUUUUUCCUGAUCCCAUUUUUUAAACUUUAGUUAGUGUGUAAUGUUGCUGUUAGAGCAUAAAUAAUACCUGUAAAUUAUAAAGCUCAAAAUUCAAUGCCAAGCGAUAUAUUUUCUUUAAUAGAAUUUCCCUUUUAAAGCAUACAGCAAACGGACGGUUUGGACUACAGCCCUCUACUUCCCGAUUGAAUGACAUCCAAAGAAGAGUUUUUUUUUACUAACUCUCACCCACAGGAAUACGUCAGUCGCAAGCAAAGCUCAAAUGGCUCUGCUAAGUUAAGUUGCUGUUAAAUCACAACACACUAAACAAACUACUACACAAUCAAAACUCGAUAUAUAUUUCUGAAGGAGGGACUUCAUAGAACAAGGAAGAAAUCAGCCCGAUUUUAGGACAGUGAAAACAGCGCUAUACAGAUAAGUAAUUAUGUGAAAAAUACUGUGUUUUUUUACACACAAAACAUGAACACACGCUAUAUUGCACACCAUAAACACAAU